rnacentral:rRNA from 1 species
UACGGGGGGGGUAAGCGUUGUUCGGAAUUACUGGGCGUAAAGGGCGCGUAGGCGGCCUGCUAAGUCGAACGUGAAAUCCCUGGGCUCAACCCAGGAACUGCGUCCGAUACUGGUUGGCUUGAAUCCGGGAGAGGGAUGUGGAAUUCCAGGUGUAGCGGUGAAAUGCGUAGAUAUCUGGAGGAACACCGGUGGCGAAGGCGACAUCCUGGACCGGUAUUGACGCUGAGGCGCGAAAGCCAGGGGAGCAAACGGG